AGCGAACGUUAGCGGCGGGCCUAACACAUGCAAGUCGAACGCGAAAGGUCUUCGGACUGAGUAGAGUGGCGCACGGGUGAGUAACACGUAGGUAAUCUACCCUUUGGCGGGGGAUAACGUUCCGAAAGGAGCGCUAAUACCGCAUAAGACCACGUGGUCUCCGGACCGAGUGGGAAAAGGUGGCCUCUUCUUGAAAGCUACCACCGAAGGAUGAGCCUGCGUCCCAUCAGCUAGUUGGUAAGGUAAUGGCUUACCAAGGCGAAGACGGGUAGCUGGUUUGAGAGAAUGAUCAGCCACACUGGCACUGGAACACGGGCCAGACUCCUACGGGAGGCAGCAGUGAGGAAUAUUGGGCAAUGGGCGAAAGCCUGACGCAGCAACGCCGCGUGGGUGAAGAAGGUCUUCGGAUCGUAAAGCCCUGUCAGGAGGGACGAAACAAAUGACGGUACCUCCAAAGGAAGCACUGGCUAACUCCGUG
rnacentral:rRNA from 1 species